CCCCCACCCCUGCCCCCGGCAAGGCUUAGACUCUCCUUCCUGUGUCCUGACCUUUUGAAAAUUCUGAUUGAAGGCUACCUUUCCAGAAAAAUGCACACACAGAAUUUUAAUUUAAAUUCCAGGAGGUCCAACCCCAUCUUCAGAGUCUGUCUGAACCCAGGGGCAGGUUGCCAAGUGCAGAGCUGCGUGGAGGUGGCCCUCGAAGCCACUUGGAGACCGUGACAGGGUCCUGAGGAUUUUGGGAGACUGGGGUCCUCUCAUUUGCUCAGAGUUCUAGGCCCCAAGCCCAGCAGGAGAGUCGGGCUAGAGUGUGGGACCUUUCUCCCCUGGGAGGAGGCGUGGUAUUUAAGUCCCCUGCAAGCCUGGGAUGGAAAUGGAUUCUCAGCUGUACCUCUGAGGAGCAUCCUUCCAGGGUGAAGAGCCCUGAGCCGUGCCGAGGGCACCGGGACACAGCUUACCUGAACCCCCCCACGGCAGAGAGGAGGUGAGCCCCGUGGUCCCCAGCUUAGGGAGCAUUGUCCAGGGGUAGAGACCACCAGGUUGCAGGCUCUGACUCAGACAGCCUGGCUUUGAAUCCUCCACGUCUUGCUAGCCUGGUGACCUUGGGCCACGUGCUUGACAGCUCUGUGCCUGUCUCCUCAUCGGGAAAGGAUGGGGCUGUCAUUUGAUGCUGUCUGGUUGGGCUGCCGGGCACGCCGAUGCCUGCAUUCUGACUGCUUGUACCCUCUGAGUGGGAGAAACACAGUGGUCUAAAUCCAGAAGGACCACGGCUCCAAAAAAUUUGUAGCCUGAAUCAAAGCCAAGAGGAAGGGUCCAUGCCUGCUCAGUGCUGCGCAGAUGUAGCCUACACAUACGACCAAGCGCAAAGUGCAUCUUCUCUCUUCGACAGAGGCCGGGGUGGGGAGGGGGUGCAGGUGCCUGCCUGCAGGCUCCAGUGGAGUCCCUCCCUAAGUGCCAUGGGCGUCCGCCUGGACACAGCUCCAGGAAAUGAUCUUCGAGAUGCUGAAAGGAUGUGUUCAUUCUCUACUACCCGCCCCAGCCAAACUGGUCCCCGUUAAUGGACCAUGACAUUUCCUCUCCUGUCUCUCCCACCCUCACCUCCUCUGUGAGGUGGCCUGAUAGCCUCUGGCAGAGGGCGGCGUCCCCAGUCUGAGCUCCUGGGGACGGGCCUGCAUCAGUGACUAGAGCUGUGGGUCGCCGUGCGUGAGAGAUGUCAGCCCGUCUGGACCACACUGAGAGCGGGGAUUGUAAUCAGUGGUCUCAGCGUUCCCCAGAAGUCUGUCCACCUCCCCAUCAGCACUGGUGCUCGGAGUGCUUCCUCUGAUAUGCAUGCAGAUCACAGGCCAUCCUCCCAAGAUGCUUCGGCCCUGGCCAGGACCAUCACGUCCUGCAGGCAGCCCAGCCUCUAGCCCAGAGGCGAACGAACUCAAGACUAAAGCUCUGGUAGAAUGUGAUGGACAAAGACAGACGGCGUCCAGCUCUACUGGGGGAACCGCCCAGUGACGGUCUUCACGCAGAAUGAGGACCUUUCAGGGAUGCUCAGGCCUUACGUGUCUCAUUGGGAAUAAAUUUAGUGGAGAGCCCCAAGGUGGAGAUAAAACACCACAGAGAGCAUUACUGGCACCUGUCUAUUCUUUGUGGACAAGCUGACCCUCUGUGCCAGCUCGAAGAAAGAACUAUAAAGAUGACAAAGGACUUCAGGCAUGGUGCAGAAAUGAGCUCGGCUUAGUGAGAUGGAAGACCAUAGUGACGUGUAAGGACAGCUCUCGGUGACAAAUGGGUUCCACAGCCAUAAGGAUCAACUUACAGAAGGUCAACAGACGGGGGAUGUAUCUUAUCUGGGCGUCUGGCUGUUGUGAAACACUGAACUUAGUGAUGCUGAAGAUAAGCUUAGUUAGAUAAAGGACAUGCAGUCCAAGAUGGAGAGAAAAUACUUGAAAAUAAGCCUGAUGCUGGCACUAAAUUAAGGCAGUAAAUGUACCUGUGGUUUCCGCCCUCUGACUGUCACAGAGACCACGGACCACCAUGAUGAACAGCAGGUUACUGACCACAAGGGCUCAGCACAUCACAAGGAGCCGUGAUGCUGACUCUCCCGCUUCAAGGGACACCCAGCUGUCCCGACAAGGAAGCUUUCAAACCCUCGCUGGAAACUAAGAAAACGGAGCUGAUCACAUGGGGUGGGGUGUGAAGGGAGAACGCACCUGAAGCACCUGGAGCGAGGUCAACACUCCACGAGUCAUGCUGUCUCGCCCGGGGCAGGAGACCACGCCCCUGAACCUGGCCGUGGCCUCAGGGACCUCUGUGUCCAGGAGAGCAGGCUCCUCGAGUGGAUUUGACUAAUAAGCCCUCUGGUUUUAUAACGAAUUCACCACGGCUUCCUUUAGAUCAGUUUUACAAUCUCUUUUGGCCUAUGACCUACGGUAAAAAAAACACAAACCAUUUCCUACUGUGAACAAGACACGCUGGCAUCCACCUCUAUGAAACCACAUUAACACGUCUGUGAGACCAGACUUGCCCUUGUUCUGUGCGAGACACUGAUGCAUUCUAUUCUGUCCUAUUAGUUUUUCAGAAUCCACUAAAUUGAUCUCACAACCUGCUAAACGGUUGACAUUUACAA